AUAUUUGUGUUGUCAGAUAACCGCGUAUAUUUUCAUAAAUUGCGCACGUUGUUGCGCAUGCGUACAUUAGAAUUGAGUCAAAUGAGCACGUGGUAAAACAAAAGACGGAAUUUUCGAAGACUGUGAAAUGUGACGCAUCCAAUUCACAAUGAAGAGCUUGCGAAGGUGUGGAUGAAAUCAGCAAAAGCACCAUUCCGGUUCAGAAGUUCUUGAUAGGAGCCUCUCUCACUGAUCUCCCCGUCCACCAGAACCAGAAUCAAAUCCGCCUGAGGCAGGAAGCUCAUUCCGUGGGUCACCAAAACCCGUGUCUUUAAUGAAAAUGUUGAAGAAUGUUGUCCUGCAGACUGGCAUUUUGGAUCCAAGCUUGCUGGGGAACGUAGGCAAUGGAGCCCUAUAUAAACAGAAGCAAAGAAGGAGACAAUCAAUUUCUCCCCAAGUAUGGCUGAAAGCAGCGAGGAUUUCCCACUGCCAACAUGGCCGACAACAGCAACCAGCGAGCCACAGGGAACUUUAACACUGAUCCUGCUCACACACACACACAGAGAGACCUGCUCCAGAAAAGCCUUUUCCCAGGCGUAGAACUUCAAGAUCUUGAUGCCAUUCAGAAUCUCGUUCAUUAACUUGACCCGUCCAUCCAUGUACUUCAUUUGUAUCUCCUGUCGAAUGAACAGAAAACAGCCAAUUGUCAUCAAAACACUUUUGGCAAGGCGCCACUUUUUGCUGACAAAAAGCUGCAUAGCUGGUUACCAGCAAUAUGUUGUGUUUUGGAUACUGGUCUUCUGAUGUUCCUACAAGCUUCUUGACUGAACCAGAGGGACAUAUAUUGCCAAAAAAAAUGAGUGUUUUGCUGAGUAACAGGAUGGUUUUGCUGGUCCACCAGUUGGACUAGCAUCAAACCAAUUUGCACUGGUCUAAGCUGGUCUUUUCAGCAAAAUGGUUUCACGUCAGAAUGAUUGACACUGUAGAAGAAAAUAAAUUCCUAACUGCAUUUUAAGAUAUUCUAGAACACAACAGCUAUGAGCUAAGAUAUUGACUCAAUCAGUGGCACGCCAAAUGUCUGUUGUUUUCUGAAAAUAAAAUUUGAGCUUUUAUUGCCA